rnacentral:rRNA from 1 species
GACGAACCGUGCAAACGUUAUUCGGAAUCACUGGGCAUAAAGGGCGCGUAGGCGGCCUGCUAAGUCGGAUGUGAAAUCCCUCGGCUCAACCGAGGAACUGCAUCCGAUACUGGCGGGCUUGAAUCCGGGAGAGGGAUGUGGAAUUCCAGGUGUAGCGGUGAAAUGCGUAGAUAUCUGGAGGAACACCGGUGGCGAAGGCGGCAUCCUGGACCGGUAUUGACGCUGAGGCGCGAAAGCUAGGGGAGCAAACGGGG